GACGAACGCUGGCGGCGUGCUUAACACAUGCAAGUCGAACGGAAAGGCCCUGCUUUUGUGGGGUGCUCGAGUGGCGAACGGGUGAGUAACACGUGAGUAACCUGCCCUUGACUUUGGGAUAACUUCAGGAAACUGGGGCUAAUACCGGAUAGGAGCUCCUGCUGCAUGGUGGGGGUUGGAAAGUUUCGGCGGUUGGGGAUGGACUCGCGGCUUAUGAGCUAGUUGGUGAGGUAGUGGCUUACCAAGGCUUCGACGGGUAGCCGGCCUGAGAGGGUGAUCGGCCACAUGGGAACGGGGACAGGGGCAAGAGGUCUAAGGGAGGCAGGAGUAGGGAAUCGUACGAAAUGGGGGAAAGCCUGACGGAGCAACGCCGCGUGAGUGAUGAAGUUUUUCGGAGCGGAAAACGCUGUUAGUAGGGAAGAAAAAAUGUGGAAGUAACUAUGCACGUCUUGACGGUACCUAAUCAGAAAGCCACGGCUAACUACGUG
rnacentral:rRNA from 1 species